GGGCUCGUGGUUUAGCUCGGUUAACUUAUUUACUUGCGAGAGAUAAGACCGAUUAACGCCUCGCUUACACCGAGGAGGUCGCCAGUUCGAAUCUGGCCGGGCCCACCA
rnacentral:tRNA from 1 species